AUUGAACGCUGGCGGCAGGCCUAACACAUGCAAGUCGAACGAGUGGCGGACGGGUGAGUAAUGUCUGUGAAACUGCCCGAUGGAGGGGGAUAACUACUGGAAACGGUAGCUAAUACCGCAUACCAUCGGAUGUGCCCAGGUGGGAUUAGCUAGUAGGUGGGGUAACGGCUCACCUAGGCGACGAUCCCUAGCUGGUCUGAGAGGAUGACCAGCCACACUGGAACUGAGACACGGUCCAGACUCCUACGGGAGGCAGCAGUGGGGAAUAUUGCACAAUGGGCGAAAGCCUGAUGCAGCCAUGCCGCGUGUAUGAAGAAGGCCUUCGGGUUGUAAAGUACUUUAAGCGAGGAGGCGUUACCCGCAGAAGAAGCACCGGCUAACUCCGUGCCAGCAGCCGCGGUAAUUC
rnacentral:rRNA from 1 species